rnacentral:rRNA from 1 species
CCUACGGGAGGCAGCAGUAGGGAAUAUUGCUCAAUGGGGGAAACCCUGAAGCAGCAACGCCGCGUGGAGGAUGAAGGUUUUCGGAUUGUAAACUCCUUUUGUUAGAGAAGAUAAUGACGGUAGCUAACGAAUAAGCACCGGCUAACUCCGGGCCAGCAGCCGCGGGAAUACGGAGGGUGCAAGCGUUACUCGGAAUCACUGGGCGUAAAGAGCGCGUAGGCGGGAUAGCAAGUCAGAUGUGAACUCCUAUGGCUUACCCAUAGAACUGCAUUUGAAACUGUUAUUCUAGAGUAUGGGGUCGGUAGGUGGAAUUCUUGGUGUAGGGGUAAAAUCCGUCGAGAUCAAGAGGAAUACUCAUUGCGACGGCGCCCUGCUAGAACAUACCUGACGCUGAUGCGC